rnacentral:rRNA from 1 species
AAAUGACCUCAAAUCAGGUAAGAAUACCCGCUGAACUUAAGCAUAUCAAUAAGCGGAGGAAAAGAAAAUAACAAUGAUUCCCUUAGUAACGGCGAGUGAAGGGGGAAAAGCUCAAAUUUUAAAUCUGCUAGGUUUUACCUGUCAGAAUUGUAAUUUGAAGAAGCGUUUUCCGCGUCUCGGUUGGCCCAAAUCCUUUGGAAUAAGGUAUCAUGGAGGGUGAGAAUCCCGUUCGGUUGACCUUAAGACGCACUACGAUACGCUUUCUAAGAGUCGAGUUGUUUGGGAUUGCAGCUCAAAAUGGGAGGUAAAUUUCUCCUAAGGCUAAAUAUUGGCGAGAGACCGAUAGCGAACAAGUACCGUGAGGGAAAGAUGAAAAGAACUUUGAAAAGAGAGUAAAAUAGUACGUGAAAUUGUUGAAAGGGAAACGAUUGAAGUCAGUCGUACCGACGAGAAAUCAGCUUAUCGUGUGUUAACUUGUGGGCGUGCGUGAGUUUCGGCCUCGCUGUUUGCAUGUUUGUCCGCUUUGGGUGUACUUUUUCGUAUGGUUGGCCAACAUCAGUUUCGAUCACUAUAAAAUGACUGGCGGAAUGUAGCUUCGAUUUCGGUUGAAGUGUUAUAGCCUCUGGUAGAUGUGGUAAUUGGGACUGAGGAUUGCAACGAAUAUCCUUUGGGCUAUCCGUCUGGCCUCUGAAAGUUGCUUGGGUGCUGAAAGCUUGCUUAUGGUUAUCUAAGUUAACGGUCAAUAGGUUAGAACGUGAUUACAUUCGUUAAGGAUGUUGGCGUAAUGGCUUUAAACGACCCGUCUUGAAACACGGACCAAGGAGUCUAACAUAUGUGCGAGUGUU